rnacentral:miRNA from 1 species
CCCUUUGAUCAUUUCAGUUGCUCUUUCCUGAACCUUUCCAACUCUGCAAUAUCCUUUUCGUUUUUAAAUUCAUUUUUAUUAAAGAUGUUCUUGUAAAUCUUUAAUAAAAAUGGAUUUUAAAACGAAAAGGAUAUUGCAGAGUUGGAAAAGGUUCAGGAAAGAGCAACCAAAAUGAUCAAGGGGA